rnacentral:antisense_RNA from 1 species
CUUGAUCGAACCCAGCCACAGCGGGCGGUCCCGCUCCUGGCCGUAGGUGGCCAGCAGAGCCUGUGCCUC